UACCAGCACCCCGAGUGGUCGGGACGUUUAUUGGGCCUAAAGCAUCCGUAGCCGGUUCUACAAGUCUUCCGUUAAAUCCACCUGCUUAACAGAUGGGCUGCGGAAGAUACUAUAGAGCUAGGAGGCGGGAGAGGCAAGCGGUACUCGAUGGGUAGGGGCAAAAUCCGUUGAUCCAUUGAAGACCACCAGUGGCGAAGGCGGCUUGCCAGAAUGCGCUCGACGGUGAGGGAUGAAAGCUGGGGGAGCAAACCGG
rnacentral:rRNA from 1 species